UCCGAUAUGGUCUAAUGGUUAUGACGCCGGUCUUUCACACCGGAAGUUCGGGUUCGAUUCCCGGUAUCGGAAC
rnacentral:tRNA from 1 species